GGGGUACAUGUAUAACUGCUGUUUCAAAAUUAUGACUAUCAGGGACCCUAGCAGAAAUUUCUCCUGAGCACCGCAAAAUCUCUUGGCAGCCCCAGGUAUACAUUACAGAAACUCUGACAGUGCCACAUACCACAUUGGUCAUUAUUAUUUGGACAGGAUGGUUAAUUAAUGUAAUGUAUAAUUAAUUAAUUAUAUUAACUAACUGAUUACAUUUAAAACACUAAUUUUUGGACUAAUGAAUAACCUUUAUGUAAAAAUAAUUCCACAAUACGAAUAAUUUGAUAUUCUCUUCAAUAUUCUGAUAUUAAUGUGAAUAUUCUCAAAUUAACAUAAUCAACACAACAAGUUGCAGUGAUGGGUCCACAUAACCUAAGCUGUAGGGAGGGUGAUAACCUGGG